rnacentral:misc_RNA from 1 species
CCGUGCCGUGACGGUUCGGCCCCUAUUUGGGGUCGGCCGCCCACCUGGCCAUCCGUGUUUACUGUACCUGUUGCUUCGGCGGGCCUGCGGGCUUGCUCGCUGCCGGGGGAUUUUGGUUCCCGGGCUCGUGCCCGCCGAAGACGCCUACAAACUCUUAAAGAUUGAUGUCUGAGCAAUUGAUUAAUUAGUUA